ACACAGCCAACAGCAGCACAGAGCGAAGAGGCAUCCUUCAAUAAAGCCUCUGUCUCCUUUCUUCUUUGAAUGAUGGAAGCGCUUCUUCCCAGUGGUGGGAGUCUCAGUUGGGUACCCUGCAGGGGGAUUGGUUUCUUGCUUCUCUGAGUUAGGCAUUUUUGAGGAAAAGCGGAGGAAUCUUGAGCCUAGUCGUGUCUCUCUCUUGCUGCAACUGUCGUAUUCACG
rnacentral:misc_RNA from 1 species